UGGGGAAUAUUGGACAAUGGGGACCGGUAGCCAUCAGCCAUGCCGCGCUGUGUGAAGAAGGCCUUAUGGUUGUAAAGCACUUUAAGCGAGGAGGAGGCUCUUUUGGUUAAUACCCAAGAUGAGUGGACGUUACUCGCAGAAUAAGCACCGGCUAACUCUGUGCCAGCAGCCGCGGUAAUACAGAGGGUGCGAGCGUUAAUCGGAUUUACUGGGCGUAAAGCGUGCGUAGGCGGCUUUUUAAGUCGGAUGUGAAAUCCCCGC
rnacentral:rRNA from 1 species